rnacentral:rRNA from 1 species
CAGUCGCCACGGGAAUACAGAGGGUGCAAGCGUUAAUCGGAAUUACUGGGCGUAAAGCGCGCGUAGGUGGUUCGCCAAGUUGGAUGUGAAAUCCCCGGGCUCAACCUGGGAACUGCAUCCAAAACUGGCGAGCUAGAGUAUGGUAGAGGGUGGUGGAAUUUCCUGUGGAGCGGUGAAAUGCGUUGAGAUCGGAAAGAACACCAACGGCGAAAGCACUCUGCUGGGCCGACACUGACACUGAGAGACGAAAGCUAGGGGAGCAAAUGGGAUUAGAUACCCCAGUAGUCCCUGUCUCUUAUAC